CUUUCCAGCUGCGAGCUACAGCAGGUCCUUCGGAAACAAUUAAAUUCUAAAAUGGCUCAAACAAAAUUCAAAGUGAAAAAGUAUGACAUCGGAUGCCAGUAAUAGGUAUUGUCAGAUUUCGGAAACAUUAUUGACCUGGAAAUAUCGAAAGCAUAAUUUUGCAAUCAAACAGAUUGCAAGAAUACACGUCUUACAAAAUGUUAAACUCAAAUAACGAUACUAAACUAAACUAACAUACUCUUCACACAUAAAGCCCAAGCUUGAUUUGGAAAAGCCACACCCACGUACACUAUUUUAAACACCUGCCUUUGUUGAAGAAUUGCUGAAGCCGGUACCUUACCCUCCACGUGUGAUUCGAGAUCUAAGCGGUGAGGGUCUGUGGAUUGCGGAAUACCAGGUGCUAUUAAGAAAUAUCUACUGGCCGUUAAUAAUAUUUCUUACAGUGUUAUACAAUAUAAUAUGGUCUCAAUAAAAUACGACACUUUUAAA